rnacentral:rRNA from 1 species
AGAGUUUGAUCUGGCUCAGAAUGAACGUUGGCGGCGUGGAUUAGGCAUGCAAGUCGAGCGGACCCCGCAAGGGGUUAGCGGCGAAAGGGACAGUAAUGUGCAGAUACGUACCCUAGGGUUCGGGAUAGCCACGGGAAACUGUGGGUAAUACCGAAUAACAUCUCCGGAUCAAAGGUGUGAUUCCGCCCUUGGAUCGGUCUGCAUCCUAUUAGCUAGUUGGUGAGGUAACGGCUCACCAAGGCCAUGAUGGGUAGCGGGUGUGAGAGCACGACCCGCGUCAUUGGGACUGAGACACUGCCCAGACACCUACGGGUGGCUGCAGUCGAGGAUCUUCGGCAAUGGGCGCAAGCCUGACCGAGCGACGCCGCGUGCGGGAUGAAGGCCUUCGGGUUGUAAACCGCUGUCGUAGGGGAGGAAGGCCGGGUGAAGAGCCCGGUUUGACCUAGCCUAGGAGGAAGGGUGGGCUAAGUUCGUGCCAGCAGCCGCGGUAAGACGAACCACCCAAACGUUAUUCGGAAUUACUGGGCUUAAAGGGUGCGUAGGCUGUGCGGAAAGUUGGGUGUGAAAUACCUCAGCUUAACUGAGGAACUGCGCUCAAAACUACCGUGCUUGAGGGAGACAGAGGUAAGCGGAACUUAGGGUGGAGCGGUGAAAUGCGUUGAUAUCCUAAGGAACACCGGUGGCGAAAGCGGCUUACUGGGUCUCUUCUGACGCUGAGGCACGAAAGCUAGGGUAGCGAACGGGAUUAGAUACCCUAGUAGUCC